rnacentral:rRNA from 1 species
GAGUUUGAUCUUGGCUCAGAUUGAACGCUGGCGGCAUGCCUUACACAUGCAAGUCGAACGGUAACAGGUCUUCGGAUGCUGACGAGUGGCGAACGGGUGAGUAAUACAUCGGAACGUGCCCGAUCGUGGGGGGAUAACGAAGCGAAAGCUUUGCUAAUACCGCAUACGAUCUACGGAUGAAAGCAGGGGACCGCAAGGCCUUGCGCGAACGGAGCGGCCGAUGGCAGAUUAGGUAGUUGGUGGGGAUAAAAGCUUACCAAGCCGACGAUCUGUAGCUGGUCUGAGAGGACGACCAGCCACACUGGGACUGAGGCACGGCCCAGACUCCUACGGGAGGCAGCAGUGGGGAAUUUUGGACAAUGGGCGAAAGCCUGAUCCAGCCAUGCCGCGUGCAGGAUGAAGGCC